rnacentral:rRNA from 1 species
UACGUAGGGGGCAAGCGUUGUCCGGAUUUAUUGGGCGUAAAGAGCGUGUAGGCGGCCUGACAGGUCUGCUGUGAAAACUCGAGGCUCAACCUCGAGAUGUCGGCGGAAACCGUCUGGCUAGAGUCCGGAAGAGGAGAGUGGAAUUCCCGGUGUAGCGGUGAAAUGCGCAGAUAUCAGGAGGAACACCAAUGGCGAAGGCAGCUCGCUGGGACGGUACUGACGCUGAGACGCGAAAGCGUGGGGAGCAAACAGG